AUGUAUACGAGUAUCACAUUUCCAUUCAUACGACCAUCCUAUUACAAGCAGGGAAACCACACCUUCGUUGAAGAAAUGAUUAACUCGCUAUAAUUUGAGUGCCCGGUCAAAAGAUGCUCUCACCAUAGGUUGUAAUGCUUAAUUUAGAGAAACGACCCUGCCCCGGUGAUCACGAUUGCUCUGACCCCUGUUCUGCUAUUAGAGAUCACAUGGAGACCCUGAUUGCUAUGGUACAUCUCAUAUUCUUGUCAUUGAGAAUGGUGUUUCCCUUCAUAAGACCAUAUUAUCAGUUUGCUUAGCGACACUAUCACAAUCGCUUGAAAUGGCUUCGUGAGUAAAGAGUGUGCAACAAAGGCGGCUUCGCACAUGUUCAACUAAGGAAAUAGAAUGAGACACCUUCCAAUUUCUUUGUUUUCCUCCUAUGUCCCAUAGCUAGCACAUAUAUUAGAUGGUGAGAAGAAAUGUAAGUCUAUAGCUCCAGGAUUAUCAUACUCAACCUACACAUGCAGCUUUCUUUCCAAACAAGUUCUGAAGGUGCAUAUAUAGUGAAGACCCGGGCGAGUACUUCAGGUAUAUUCUUUUGGUUGUCAUUCAAGGAUUGUGAAAACAAGCUACACUAAAAUGAUGUGAAAUGUUAUGAGUGUGUGGUGUUAGUUUUACCGAGUGAGAAAUGCAUGAUGAAACGCAUGAAGUCAUAGACGCCCUAAUAAAAUUUUAAUUGCCACCAACUCGAUAUAACGCCUUUGAUACCGAUAGAGUGUCCAAAAUUCCACUUUAGACUUGGACCCAAAAGACGAGUGCACACUCUGC
rnacentral:lncRNA from 1 species